rnacentral:rRNA from 1 species
GCCUAACACAUGCAAGUCGAACGGUAACAGGAAGAAGCUUGCUUCUUUGCUGACGAGUGGCGGACGGGUGAGUAAUGUCUGGGAAACUGCCUGAUGGAGGGGGAUAACUACUGGAAACGGUAGCUAAUACCGCAUAACGUCGCAAGACCAAAGAGGGGGACCUUCGGGCCUCUUGCCAUCGGAUGUGCCCAGAUGGGAUUAGCUAGUAGGUGGGGUAACGGCUCACCUAGGCGACGAUCCCUAGCUGGUCUGAGAGGAUGACCAGCCACACUGGAACUGAGACACGGUCCAGACUCCUACGGGAGGCAGCAGUGGGGAAUAUUGCACAAUGGGCGCAAGCCUGAUGCAGCCAUGCCGCGUGUAUGAAGAAGGCCUUCGGGUUGUAAAGUACUUUCAGCGGGGAGGAAGGGAGUAAAGUUAAUACCUUUGCUCAUUGACGUUACCCGCAGAAGAAGCACCGGCUAACUCCGUGCCAGCAGCCGCGGUAAUACGGAGGGUGCAAGCGUUAAUCGGAAUUACUGGGCGUAAAGCGCACGCAGGCGGUUUGUUAAGUCAGAUGUGAAAUCCCCGGGCUCAACCUGGGAACUGCAUCUGAUACUGGCAAGCUUGAGUCUCGUAGAGGGGGGUAGAAUUCCAGGUGUAGCGGUGAAAUGCGUAGAGAUCUGGAGGAAUACCGGUGGCGAAGGCGGCCCCCUGGACGAAGACUGACGCUCAGGUGCGAAAGCGUGGGGGAGCAAACAGGAUUAGAUACCCUGGUAGUCCACGCCGUAAACGAUGUCGACUUGGAGGUUGUGCCCUUGAGGCGUGGCUUCCGGAGCUAACGCGUUAAGUCGACCGCCUGGGGAGUACGGCCGCAAGGUUAAAACUCAAAUGAAUUGACGGGGGCCCGCACAAGCGGUGGAGCAUGUGGUUUAAUUCGAUGCAACGCGAAGAACCUUACCUGGUCUUGACAUCCACGGAAGUUUUCAGAGAUGAGAAUGUGCCUUCGGGAACCGUGAGACAGGUGCUGCAUGGCUGUCGUCAGCUCGUGUUGUGAAAUGUUGGGUUAAGUCCCGCAACGAGCGCAACCCUUAUCCUUUGUUGCCAGCGGUCCGGCCGGGAACUCAAAGGAGACUGCCAGUGAUAAACUGGAGGAAGGUGGGGAUGACGUCAAGUCAUCAUGGCCCUUACGACCAGGGCUACACACGUGCUACAAUGGCGCAUACAAAGAGAAGCGACCUCGCGAGAGCAAGCGGACCUCAUAAAGUGCGUCGUAGUCCGGAUUGGAGUCUGCAACUCGACUCCAUGAAGUCGGAAUCGCUAGUAACCGUGGAUCAGAAUGCCACGGUGAAUACGUUCCCGGGCCUUGUACACACCGCCCGUCACACCAUGGGAGUGGGUUGCAAAAGAAGUAGGUAGCUUAACCUUCGGGAGGGCGCUUACCACUUUGUGAUUCAUGACUGGGGUGAAGUCAUAA